rnacentral:rRNA from 1 species
UGAGCAAUCUGCCCUUCUCAUCGGAAUAAGCGUUGGAAACGACGUCUAAUGCCGAAUACGACCUCCUUUCGCAUGAUCGGAGGUGGAAAGCUCCGGCGGAGAAGGAUGAGCUCGCGGCCUAUCAGCUAGUUGGUGUGGGUAAUGGCCCACCAAGGCGACGACGGGUAGCCGGCCUGAGAGGGUGACCGGCCACACUGGGACUGAGACACGGCCCAGACUCCUACGGGGGGNAGCG